CUAGGAAUCUUGGGAAUGGGCGAAAGCCUGACCCAGCAACGCCGCGUGGGCGAUGAAGGCCUUAGGGUCGUAAAGCCCUUUUGAGAGGGAAGAUGAUGACGGUACCUCUCGAAUAAGCCACGGCUAACUACGUGCCAGCAGCCGCGGUAAUACGUAGGUGGCAAGCGUUGUCCGGAUUUACUGGGCGUAAAGGGCGUGCAGGCGGUUUGUUAAGUCUAGGGUGAAAGCUCCCGGCUCAACUGGGAGAGAUCCUUGGAUACUGACAGACUUGAGGAGGGUAGAGGAGAGUGGAAUUCCCGGUGUAGUGGUGAUAUGCGUAGAUAUCGGGAGGAACACCAGUGGCGAAGGCAACUCUCUGAACCCUACCUGACGCUGAGACGCGAAAGCGUGAGGAGCGAACCGG
rnacentral:rRNA from 1 species